UGCCAUGAUGCCAGGUAUACCUUGACGCUAUUGCCAUGAUACCAGGUAUACCUUGACGUUAUUGCCAUGAUGCUAGGUUAUCCUUGACGUUAUUGCCAUGAUGCCUGUUAUACCUUGACGUUAUUGCCAUGAUGCCAGUGUCAAGUCUCUGACAUUAUUUUGAACGUGUUUUAGUCGGCUAACUGAUUGAUCCUGCGGUCUGGAACAGCCCCACGUCUCUGUUCAACCACCAGACCUCCAUGUUUUAAUAAACACUCCGAACCACCAAACAGACAUGUUUUAAUAAACACUCCGAACCACCAGACAGACAUGUUUUAAUAAACACUCUGAACCACCAGACAGACAUGUUUUAAUAAACACUCCGAAC